rnacentral:rRNA from 1 species
GCUAAACGCGAAGAACCUUACCUGGCCUUGACAUGUCCGGAAUUCUGCAGAGAUGCGGAAGUGCCUUCGGGAAUCGGAACACAGGUGCUGCAUGGCUGUCGUCAGCUCGUGUCGUGAGAUGUUGGGUUAAGUCCCGCAACGAGCGCAACCCUUGUCCUUAGUUGCCAGCGAGUAAUGUCGGGAACUCUAAGGAGACUGCCGGUGACAAACCGGAGGAAGGUGGGGAUGACGUCAAGUCCUCAUGGCCCUUACGGCCAGGGCUACACACGUACUACAAUGGUCGGUACAGAGGGUUGCCAGACCGCAAGGUGGAGCCAAUCCCAGAAAGCCGAUCCCAGUCCGGAUCGGAGUCUGCAACUCGACUCCGUGAAGCCGGAAUCGCUAGUAAUCGCGGAUCAGCUAUGCCGCGGUGAAUACGUUCCCGGGUCUUGUACACACCG